CCUGAGAAACCCGAAAGAUCGAAUGGGGAGAUUCAUCGUCAGCGAUUUUGGUACGUGUGCGGUUCGCGAUGUCGGAGACCUCGGUCUCGCGACACGCGUCCGUAUGUUUUUUAUUGCCCGAGUCGUCGGCGUGCACUUCUCCCCUAGUAGGACGUCGCGACCCGUUGGGUGUCGAUCUUACGGGGAACGUUUGGGUGCCAGUCACGUUGUGUGCGCUUAACGGUGUUUACGCGUGGCAGACCGCAGUUCCCCCGACCGGCUGCCCGGCGGUACUCGCACGGUAUCUGGCCGCAAAUACUGCGUCCCGUCCGUCGCAAGCGCGGCAAGUGUUUCCCGGCUGUACGGAUCUAACGCCGUCAUCGGGCCUGGCCRGCUGUUGGUUGACGGUGUCCUGGGACUGGCUGACAAAAUUAUAUGAUACCGGUCGGCGACGCUACUGCUUUGGGUACUUUCAGGACCCGUCUUGAAACACGGA
rnacentral:rRNA from 1 species